UUCGGGGCUCCUUGGUGAUUCAUGAUAACUUAACGAAUCGCAUGGCCUUGCGCCGGCGAUGGUUCAUUCAAAUUUCUGCCCUAUCAACUUUCGAUGGUAGGAUAGUGGCCUACCAUGGUAUCAACGGGUAACGGGGAAUUAGGGUUCUAUUCCGGAGAGGGAGCCUGAGAAACGGCUACCACAUCCAAGGAAGGCAGCAGGCGCGCAAAUUACCCAAUCCCGACACGGGGAGGUAGUGACAAUAAAUACUGAUACAGGGCUCUUUUGGGUCUUGUAAUUGGAAUGAGUACAAUUUAAAUACCUUAACGAGGAACAAUUGGAGGGCAAGUCUGGUGCCAGCAGCCGCGGUAAUUCCAGCUCCAAUAGCGUAUAUUAAAGUUGUUGCAGUUAAAAAGCUCGUAGUUGAACCUUGGGCCUGGCUGGCCGGUCCGCCUCACCGCGUGUACUGGUCCGGCCGGGCCUUUCCUUCUGGGGAACCGCAUGCCCUUCACUGGGUGUGCUGGGGAACCAGGACUUUUACUUUGAAAAAAUUAGAGUGUUCAAAGCAGGCCUUUGCUCGAAUACAUUAGCAUGGAAUAAUAGAAUAGGACGUGCGGUCCUAUUUUGUUGGUUUCUAGGACCGCCGUAAUGAUUAAUAGGGAUAGUCGGGGGCGUCAGUAUUCAAUUGUCAGAGGUGAAAUUCUUGGAUUUAUUGAAGACUAACUACUGCGAAAGCAUUCGCCAAGGAUGUUUUCAUUAAUCAGUGAACGAAAGUUAGGGGAUCGAAGACGAUCAGAUACCGUCGUAGUCUUAACCGUAAACUAUGCCGACUAGGGAUCGGACGAUGUUAUUAUUUUGACUCGUUCGGCACCUUACGAGAAAUCAAAGUC
rnacentral:rRNA from 1 species